CCGCCUCUCUCCCCUUCUGGAUCAGCAGAUUGGGGCCCUCUGUGUUUUCAACAGGCUUUGCCCUUUUCGGUGACACAGGCUGUUGCUAUUCCCAGCAGCCUAUCAGGAGCAGGGGGAGGGCCGUGGCUCCUGGAUUGUUUUGCCUUCAGAUGCGAGUUGGAAGCAAGAGGUUAAAAGACUUGGGACGCAGAGGCAGUGUUUGGCCACCGGCUAGGGCUUGCUCUUGUGUUGCCGCAAUUUGAAAAGAAGCUUAGAAAAAGAAGCAUGAAGAUUUAAAUGCAAGUCUGCAAGCCGAGAGUGGGGAACAAAAACCCACAGAUGGUAUCAGUUAAUCUCUCAGAAGAAGACUUUAUGUAAAGAAAUAAAAGAAGGAAAAGU